CCAGUUGAUAAUAACAAGAAGAUCUGGAAAAUGAAGAUACUGCUUAAGAAUAAAAUCUUUGAGUGGUAUCUUCGUCGAGGAGUCAUUCUUACCAAAGAUAACCUUAUUAAGAGGAAUUGACAUGGAAGUACGCAAUGUGUGUGUUUUCAUCAUAAGGAAACAAUAAAACACUUGUUUUUCCAAUGCAAAUUGACUCGUUUUAUAUGA
rnacentral:rRNA from 1 species